UACAGAGGGGGCAAGCGUUAUUCGGAAUUAUUGGGCGUAAAGGGCGCGUAGGCGGCUUGGCAAGUGGAUGGUGAAAUCCCUCGGCUUAACCGAGGAACUGCCAUCCAGACUGCUUUGCUUGAGGCCGGGAGAGGUGAGUGGAAUUCCCCAGUGUAGCGGUGAAAUGCGUAGAUAUUGGGAGGAACACCAGUGGCGAAGGCGGCUCACUGGACCGGUUCCGGACGCUGAGGCGCGAAAGGCGUGGGGAGGCAAACGGGAUUAGAAACCCCCAGUG
rnacentral:rRNA from 1 species